rnacentral:rRNA from 1 species
UUGUAAACUGCUUUUGCAGGGGAAUAAACCUAUCAACGUGUUGAUAGCUGAAUGUACUCUGAGAAUAAGGAUCGGCUAACUCCGUGC